rnacentral:rRNA from 1 species
ACGGCCGUACCAUGCUGAAUAUACCGGUUCUCGUUAGAUCACCGAAGUUAAGCAUCAUUGGGCGCGGUCAGUACUUGGGUGGGUGACCACCUGGGAACACUGCGUGACGU